rnacentral:rRNA from 1 species
GAUGAACGCUGGCGGCGUGCCUAAUACAUGCAAGUCGAGCGAACAGACGAGGAGCUUGCUCCUCUGACGUUAGCGGCGGACGGGUGAGUACCACGUGGCUAACCUACCUAUAAGACUGGGAUAACUUCGGGAAACCGGAGCUAAUACCGGAUAAUAUAUUGAACCGCAUGGUUCAAUAGUGAAAGACGGUUUUGCUGUCACUUAUAGAUGGAUCCGCGCCGCAUUAGCUAGUUGGUAAGGUAACGGCUUACCAAGGCAACGAUGCGUAGCCGACCUGAGAGGGUGAUCGGCCACACUGGAACUGAGACACGGUCCAGACUCCUACGGGAGGCAGCAGUAGGGAAUCUUCCGCAAUGGGCGAAAGCUUGACGGAGCAACGCCGCGUGAGUGAUGAAGGUCUUCGGAUCGUAAAACUCUGUUAUUAGGGAAGAACAAAUGUGUAAGUAACUAUGCACGUCUUGACGGUACCUAAUCAGAAAGCCACGGCUAACUACGUG